UACGUAGGGGGCAAGCGUUGUCCGGAAUCAUUGGGCGUAAAGAGCGUGUAGGCGGCUUGGCAAGUCUGGUGUGAAAUCUUGCGGCUCAACCGCAAGCGGUCACUGGAAACUGCCUCGCUAGAGUCCGGAAGAGGAGAGCGGAAUUCCUGGUGUAGCGGUGGAAUGCGCAGAUAUCAGGAGGAACACCAAUUGCGAAGGCAGCUCGCUGGGACGUGACUGACGCUGAGACGCGAAAGCGUGGGGAGCAAACAGG
rnacentral:rRNA from 1 species